rnacentral:rRNA from 1 species
UCAACGCGAAGAACCUUACCUACUCUUGACAUCCAGAGAACUUUCCAGAGAUGGAUUGGUGCCUUCGGGAACUCUGAGACAGGUGCUGCAUGGCUGUCGUCAGCUCGUGUUGUGAAAUGUUGGGUUAAGUCCCGCAACGAGCGCAACCCUUAUCCUUUGUUGCCAGCGGUUCGGCCGGGAACUCAAAGGAGACUGCCAGUGAUAAACUGGAGGAAGGUGGGGAUGACGUCAAGUCAUCAUGGCCCUUACGAGUAGGGCUACACACGUGCUACAAUGGCGUAUACAAAGAGAAGCGACCUCGCGAGAGCAAGCGGACCUCAUAAAGUACGUCGUAGUCCGGAUUGGAGUCUGCAACUCGACUCCAUGAAGUCGGAAUCGCUAGUAAUCGUAGAUCAGAAUGCACGUCAC